rnacentral:rRNA from 1 species
UACGUAGGGUGCGAGCGUUAAUCGGAAUUACUGGGCGUAAAGCGUGCGCAGGCGGUUUGCUAAGACCGAUGUGAAAUCCCCGGGCUUAACCUGGGAACUGCAUUGGUGACUGGCAGGCUAGAGUAUGGCAGAGGGGGGGUAGAAUUCCACGUGUAGCAGUGAAAUGCGUAGAGAUGUGGAGGAAUACCGAUGGCGAAGGCAGCCCCCUGGGCCAAUACUGACGCUCAUGCACGAAAGCGUGGGGAGCAAACAGG